rnacentral:rRNA from 1 species
AGCAACCUGCCUCAGUGUGGGGGAUAGCCGGCCCAACGGCCGGGUAAUACCGCAUACGCUCAUUAAGUGGCAUCACUUGAUGAAGAAACUUUCGAGGCACUGAGAGGGGCUCGCGGCCUAUCAGCUUGUUGGUGGGGUAAUGGCCUACCAAGGCAACGACGGGUAGCUGGUCUGAGAGGAUGGCCAGCCACAUUGGGACUGAGAUACGGCCCAG